rnacentral:rRNA from 1 species
ACAUCUUCGAGACGCCAAAGAUUUAUCGGCAAGGGAUGGGCCUGCGUCUGAUUAGUUAGUUGGUGGGGUAACGGCCUACCAAGGCAGCGAUCAGUAGCCGACCUGAGAGGGUGAUCGGCCACAUUGGAACUGAGACACGGUCCAAACUCCUACGGGAGGCAGCAGUGGGGAAUAUUGCGCAAGGGGCGAAAGCCUGAUGCAGCAACGCCGCGUGAAGGAAGAGAGGCCCUUGGGUCGUAAACUUCUUUCUAAGGG